rnacentral:lncRNA from 1 species
GGUUGUAUCUGCGACACCAGCACUUUCAGAGGAGAAAACUGAAGAAUCAGUUAAGGCAGAAGAGACUCCUGUGGAAGAGGUGGCGGCCGCACCACCUACACCAGAGCCUGUUGCUGAGGAGCCAAAGGAAGCAGAAACUGCAGCUGUGCCCGAGGAAUCUGCGGCUCCAGAAGCUGAAGCCCCUGCUGAUCAGGAUGAGACCAAGGAGGUGGUAGAACAAGUUGAGGUUGAGACCAAGGAGGUGGUGGAAAAAACUGAUCAGGCUGUGGUGGAAGAACCAGCGGUAGAGAAGACAGAAGAGGUCCCAGAGGAGACUCCUGAUCAGGAAACAAACAGCCCAGUUGUGGAGGAAACCAAAGAAGCUACAGAACCAGCUGAGGAACCAGCACCAAAACCAGAACCAGCACCUGCAGAUGAAGCUCCAAAAGAAGAAGGUCCUGCUGCAGAAGAAGAAGAGAAACCAGCUGAAGCUAAAGUGAAAGUUGAGACAGAUGAGAAGGCUGAGUGAUGAGUCUAUGAGUGUAUGGCCGAGUGAAAUUAAAAGUUUGUGUGAUGAGGGGUCUGCUAGGUUGCAUGUCUAGUUAAAGGAGUAUUAAUUUUCUUAGUAUAAUGAGGAAGGUUGAGGUGGAUGGAGCUUGAAAUCAAGGUAUGGGGAUGAC